rnacentral:tRNA from 1 species
GCUGGGAGAGCGCUUGCAUGGCAUGCAAGAGGUCAGCGGUUCGAUCCCGCUUAGCUCCACCA